ACUCUGCUGAAGAGUCCCACAAUAGGACGGAAUGGCCGUCCAGUGAU
rfam:Schistosoma mattheei strain Denwood, Zambia genome assembly, scaffold: SMTD_scaffold0002198